AUAAAUUUUUUUCAAAUGAAAAAAAAUCUGUUCUUAUCAGUUUAAUAUCUGAUACGUCCCCUACCCGGGGACCAUAUAUUAAAUUGAUUUUUGGAACUGGGAGAUGGAAAAGGGGCUUGCCCCGUCCACUCCACGCAUCGACCUGGUAUUGCAGUACCUCCAGGACCGGUGCACCCCUC
rnacentral:snRNA from 1 species